CUUAUAGACAGACACAUAAACAGAAGAUAUGGAAAAUUACCAAGAGAUCUAUCUAGUCGCAUCCAUAGACGAGUCUUGGCAACCACCUAGAUAUGUAUCUUUGAGCUACAUAGAUCGUGUUUAAUUAAAAUAGGAUAAUAAUGCCCAAUCAGUAUACUCGCAAACGAAAUGUGCCCGAAAGGGGUUCUUGGUCUGCAGAGGACUUAUGUUCUGCCAUUAAUGCAGUAGUGUUUGGCGAAAUGGGUGUUAACGAAGCAGCAAAAGCAUUCCACAUUCCAAAAACUACUUUUAAACGCAGACUUGCAGCUAGCAAUCAAUCUAAAUAAAACCGAUUGUUUAGGCCCUGUCAGCUUGCUUGGGAGAGAAGCAGAGGCCAAGCUCGCUACCCACAUCCAAAAAUACAGAAAAGAGGCUUUGCACCGACUAGACCAAGAUAAUUUAGCCGAACGUCUUGGAAUUCAACAUAAAUUUAAUCGGGAAGAUGGUAAAGCUGGUAACGUCUGGCUGCUUCAAUUUUUAAGACGGAAUUCAGACAUUACUGUUCGCAAAGCUGAAAAUACCUCAAUAGCGCGAGCUUUGGGAAUGUCUAAAAAUGUGGUAGACAACUAUUUUAAAGAACUCGAUGCUGUACUUUCUGAGAAUGGUUUGUUUGGCAGGCCUGGCAACAUUUAUAAUACGGACGAGACAAGAAAAGUAUACCUUCAAUUAGCCCGGGUGAAAAGGGUGAAACGAUUACAGUAGUUGCCUGUUGUAAUGCAGAAGGAGUUUAUUUGCCUCCUUACUGCGUGUUCAAGAGAAAAAAUGCUAAAGCGGAAUGGGCUGAUGAAAUGCCACCCGGCUCACGUGUACGCAUGUCAGAAAAGUCAGCGUACGUGACAUCAGAAAUUUAUCUGGAUUGGCUACAGAAUCAUUUCUACCCUAGAAAAGCACCUGGAAAGGUUUUGCUAACGGUAGACGGACACACUUCCCACACGACUAAUCUUGACACGUUGCAAUUCGCUGAGGAUAACGACAUUAGUAUAUUUUGUUUGCCGAGUCAUACUACGCAUUACUUGCAGCCGCUUGAUCGGGCCUUCUUCAAGAGCCUUAAAGGGCAUUAUUACGAUUCAUGCAGAAGGAUGAUCAAAUGCAGCCCCACUAGGAAGUUAAAUCGAUUACAAUUCGGCAAACUUUUAGGGGAAGUCUGGGGCAAAUCGGCUACAGUCAGCAAUGCCGUAUCGGCCUUUCGGGCAACAGGAAUCUAGCCUUACAAUUCAGAUGAAAUACCCGAUUACGCUUUUCUAACGGAGCCACCAAAUGAGGCUGCAUUACAUUCAAGAAACACAUUUAGGGAACAAGGUGUCCUCACAGAAGUGGCAACAGAAACUGUGUUGCAAGAAAUUUGUUCUCAAACUUUUCCUCGCGAAUGUGACUCACUUCAACCAGGCCCUUGUAUGGAAUGCAGCAGAAAAGUGUGGAAGAACCUACUGAAGAAGAAUUAACACCUGGGAAACUACUUCAGGAGCUUUCUCCUGUGCCUCUUAUAACACCAGCAAUGAAAAAGGCUCGUGCUAAUCUAGUCGGUAACUUAACAUCACCAAGUUACAUGGCUCGAAUAAGCGAGAAGACGCAGAGACAAACACGACAGCUUAAAAGACAGAAGAAAGAAGAACCUUCCAAGAAGAAAUCGCCAAAAUCUACUAAAAAAGUGUUGCAAAAGAAACGGAGGCAUGGGUCUACCUCUUCAGAAUCUGAUGAAGACGUACUUUUGGAUGAUUCGUCUAGCGAGGAAGAAACCUUCGAUGACUUAGAGAAUCAGUGCGUCGGGUGUCUUCAAGAUUAUCGCCUUACAAAGAAAAAAGAGGACUGGCUACAAUGCAUUAUCUGUUCUAGAUGGUUGCACGAAGGUUGCACAUCCUACACCAACACAUGCCAACUCUGCGGUGCCGCCCCCAUUAUGAAAAAGGGGAAGAAAAGACUAAAUUAGUGUACACAAGAUCUCUUUUAAGACUUUCUAGCAAUGGGCCAAUUUAAGUUUUCAAUUUUUUAUGUUUUACAUUUAUUUGUCGAGUUGCAUUCAUAUUUAAACUGUGUCAAAUAGAUCACCAACAUAUAUAUUUACGUUGGACUUUUUUUUAGAGAUUAAUUCUUAUAAAUUAAUAAUUUUUGAAAAGUGGUCCAUCUCUUCUCGAUUUACCCUUCUUUCAAAACUUAAAGACAAGGCAGCAGUAGGAUGUAAAAGUGGCGUUUCUCAUUUUCAAUUUAAUGAUUGUGAAUCAACAUAUAUUGGCAAGACGGAGCGCAAUUUCAAGACUAGGUUCCAAGAACGUUUGAAUUCACUAAACAAUAAAUCGUAAUUUGGAGUUUACUUGAAGGAGAAAAACCGCUCAUAAUGAUUUUCAGAAAAACUUCAAAUCCUUCAAGAACUUUGGGAUGGGAAGAAAUUGGAUGCCGUAAAAGUCGAUUGAAAUAGCAAAAGAAAAACUAAGAAAGGAUGUGCGUAGUUUAAAAUGAUCCUGCCAUUAAUCACUUUUUGGAGCCUGCAUGUAUCGUAAAGGAUUUUGAAUCGCAUUAGAUCUAUACGACUGUACCGUUGUUUAAGACGUUGCCAAAUUUAUAAAUAAAGAGGUUGAAAGAUUGUAAGUUUUAGAA
rnacentral:lncRNA from 1 species